ACAAACGCUGGCGGGGUGCGUGAGACAUGCAAGUCGAACGGGGUCUCAUCGGGCUUGCUCGAGGAGACCUAGUGGCGGACGGCUGAGUAACGCGUAGGUGACCUGCCCGGAAGUGGGGAAUAACUGCCCGAAAGGGUGGCUAAUACCGCAUGUGGUCGGCGAUUCGCUUCGCCGUCCAAAGCCGCAAGGCGCUUCCGGAGGGGCCUGCGUCCGAUUAGCUAGUUGGUGGGGUAAUGGCUCACCAAGGCGACGAUCGGUAGCUGGUCUGAGAGGAUGAUCAGCCAGACUGGGACUGAGAACGGCCCAGACUCCUACGGGAGGCAGCAGUCGGGAAUUUUGCCCAAUGGACGAAAGUCUGAGGCAGCAACUCCGCGUGAGGGACGAAGGCCUUCGGGUCGUAAACCUCUUUUCUCAGGGAAGAUCCAAGACGGUACCUGAGGAAUAAGCCACGGCUAACUACGUGCCAGCAGCCGCGGUAAUACGUAGGUGGCAAGCGUUGUCCGGAUUUACUGGGCGUAAAGAGCGCGCAGGCGGCCGGUCAAGUCCGAUGUGAAAGCUCCCGGCUUAACUGGGAAAUUGCAUCGGAAACUGAUCGGCUUGAAGGUGGGAGAGGGUAGCGGAAUUCCCGGUGUAGUGGUGAAAUGCGUAGAUAUCGGGAGGAACACCAGUGGCGAAAGCGGCUACCUGGCCCAUUCUUGACGCUGAGGCGCGAAAGCUAGGGGAGCAAACGGGAUUAGAUACCCCGGUAGUCCUAGCCGUAAACGAUGAACACUAGGCGUAGUCGGUAUCGACCCCCGGCUGUGCCGAAGCCAACGCAUUAAGUGUUCCGCCUGGGGAGUACGGCCGCAAGGCUAAAACUCAAAGGAAUUGACGGGGGCCCGCACAAGCAGCGGAGCGUGUGGUUUAAUUCGUCGAAACGCGAAGAACCUUACCAGGGCUUGACAUGCACCGGAAAACGGCGGAAACGUCGUCCUCCCGCAAGGGAUCGGUGUGCAGGUGUUGCAUGGCUGUCGUCAGCUCGUGUCGUGAGAUGUUGGGUUAAGUCCCGCAACGAGCGCAACCCCCGUGGCAUGUUGUAUCACUCAUGCCAGACUGCCGAGAGAAACUCGGAGGAAGGCGGGGAUGAAGUCAAGUCAGCAUGGCCCUUACGUCCUGGGCUACACACACGCUACAAUGGCCGGUACAACGGGUUGCCAAACCGUGAGGGUGGAGCUAAUCCCUUAAAGCCGGUCUCAGUUCGGAUUGCAGGCUGCAACUCGCCUGCAUGAAGCCGGAGUUGCUAGUAACCGCAGGUCAGCACACUGCGGUGAAUAUGUUCCCGGGCCUUGUACACACCGCCCGUCACGUCAUGAAAGCCGAUAACACCCGAAGCCGGUGGGCCAACCGCAAGGAGGCAGCCGUCGAAGGUGGGAUUGGUGAUUGGGACG
rnacentral:rRNA from 1 species